rnacentral:rRNA from 1 species
UAAUGCUUGGGAAUCUAGCUUAUGGAGGGGGAUAGCUAUGGGAAACUGUAGCUAAUACCGCGUAGAAUCGGGAGAUGAAAGUGUGGGACCUUCGGGCCACAUGCCAUAGGAUGAGCCCAAGUGGGAUUAGGUAGUUGGUGAGGUAAAGGCUCACCAAGCCGACGAUCUCUAGCUGGUCUGAGAGGAUGACCAGCCACACUGGGACUGAGACACGGCCCAG